AAAACUGUAAAGAUAUUGCUAAUUGACACAUGUCUUCAUCAACAGAACCCCUACGCUGAAGCGUAGGAUGACCUGGAGGACUCGUGGAUACCACGGCCGGACCAUCGGCAGGAGGACCCCUCUGCUGAAGCAGAGGAUGACCCAGAGCAGGACCCCAUGGAUACCACGGCCGGACCAUCGGCAGGAGGACCCCUCCGCUGGAGCAGAGGAUGAACGGGAGGAUCCCAUGGAUACCACGGCCGGACCAUCGGCAGGAGGUAUUUAUCUGUGAAGUGUGUCUUGAAAC